GACGAACGCUGGCGGCGUGCCUAAUACAUGCAAGUCGAGCGAAGCGGCGGAUGGGUGAGUAACGCGUGGGUAACCUGCCCUUCAGUCUGGGAUGCUAUUUGGUACCAGAUGCUAUUACCGGAUACUUAAGGAUGGACCUGCGUUGCAGUAGCUAGUUGGUAAGGUAACGGCCUACCAAGGCGAUGAUGCAUAGCCGAGCUGAGAGACUGAUCGGCCACACUGGAACUGAGACACGGCCCAAACUCCUACGGGAGGCAGCAGUAGGGAAUCUUCCACAAUGGACGAAAGUCUGAUGGAGCAACGCCGCGUGAGUGAAGAAGGUUUUCGGAUCGUAAAGUACUGUUGUUGGUGAAGCGUUAAUCAACCAGAAAGUCACGGCUAACUACGUGCCAGCAGCCGCGGUAAUAC
rnacentral:rRNA from 1 species